GAAAUGCGAUAAGUAAUGUGAAUUGCAGAAUUCAGUGAAUCAUCGAAUCUUUGAACGCACCUUGCGCUCCUUGGUAUUCCUUGGAGCAUGCCUGUUUGAGUAUCAUGAAAUCUUCAAAGUAAAUCUUUUGUUAACUCAAUUGGUUUCUACUUUGGUAUUGGAGGUCUUUGCAGCUUCACACCUGCUCCUCUUUGUUCAUUAGCUGGAUCUCAGUGUUAUGCUUGGUUCCACUCGGCGUGAUAAGUUAUCUAUCGCUGAGGACACUGUAAAAGGUGGCCAAGGUAAAUGCAGAUGAACCUCUUCUAAUAGUCCAUUGACUUGGACAAUACUUUUAUGAUCUGAUCUCAAAUCAGGUAUGACUACCCGCUGAACUUAAGC
rnacentral:misc_RNA from 1 species